rnacentral:rRNA from 1 species
AACGAACGCUGGCGGCAUGCCUAACACAUGCAAGUCGAACGAGACCUUCGGGUCUAGUGGCGCACGGGUGCGUAACACGUGGGAAUUUGCCUCGGGGUAUGGAAUAACUCAGGGAAACUUGAGCUAAUACCAUAUAAUGUCUUCGGACCAAAGAUUUAUCGCCCUGAGAUAAGCCCGCGUAGGAUUAGCUAGUUGGUGGGGUAAAGGCUCACCAAGGCGACGAUCCUUAGCUGGUCUGAGAGGAUGAUCAGCCACACUGGGACUGAGACACGGCCCAGACUCCUACGGGAGGCAGCAGUGGGAAUAUUGGACAAUGGGCGAAAGCCUGAUCCAGCAAUGCCGCGUGGAGUGAUGGAAGGCCCUUCGGGUUGUUAAAGGGUACCUACUUUUUACC